rfam:Burkholderiales bacterium YL45, complete genome.
UUAACGGUAACGUUAAGUCUGAAGGAAGCUGAUAGUAAAAUGCAUGUUCAAAGAACAGGAAGCGGAUAUGAGCAGUCUAGACGGGUGUGGGGGCCGUGAUACCCAACCGAUAUUAGUUGAAGCGUUGCUAUCGAGUCUUCGAGU